GAAAUAUCAGUCCGGAUACCGUUUUCCUCCUUUUCAAUUGCACCAUUCAGCAUGGACAAACUGCAGCCAGUAAAGUUAGCCAAAAGUUACAAAGGUGCUUGGACGCACAGGAUCACAGGGACAAUGUACCCAGGUGCGUGUGGAGUUUCUCGAUGACAGCAACCGUUCCAUCAUCAGGAACGUGAAGGGCCCAGUGCGUGAGGGUGAUAUCCUAACUCUGUUGGAGUCUGAGAGAGAGGCUAGAAGAUUGCGCUGAGUCUGGUCUUGUAUAUAUGACAUAGGGGCCUGGAAGAAAAAGGAGAUGACAAGGAAACUUGAA